CCAGCGAACUUGGCAGAGAUGCCUUGGUGCCUUCGGGAACGCUGAGACAGGUGCUGCAUGGCUGUCGUCAGCUCGUGUUGUGAAAUGUUGGGUUAAGUCCCGCAACGAGCGCAACCCUUAUCCUUUGUUGCCAGCGAUUCGGUCGGGAACUCAAAGGAGACUGCCGGUGAUAACCGGAGGAAGGUGGGGAUGACGUCAAGUCAUCAUGGCCCUUACGAGUAGGGCUACACACAUGCUACAAUGGCGCAUACAAAGAGAAGCGACCUCGCGAGAGCAAGCGGACCUCAUAAAGUGCGUCGUAGUCCGGAUCGGAGUCUGCAACUCGACUCCGUGAAGUCGGAAUCGCUAGUAAUCGUGGAUCAGAAUGCCACGGUGAAUACGUUCCCGGGCCUUGUACACACCGCCCGUCACACCAUGGGAGUGGGUUGCAAAAGAAGUAGGUAGCUUAACCUUCGGGAGGGCGCUUACCACUUUGUGAUUCAUGACUGGGGUGAAGUCGUAACAAGGUAAGCGUAGCGAG
rnacentral:rRNA from 1 species